UUCAAAUUUCAAAUAAAUAAACAAAUGCCACCUUAGUGUCACGGGGUGAUAGUUUUGCGCAGCAAGUUCCCGUGCGGCACUUGAGCGACCUUAGCGUGUGAGUCGCCAAGUAAGUCUAGAUUACUCCCUAAACAAGCCAAGCACACACACUUGGAGAAAAUGUUAAGGGUAGUAAAAGUGGAAUGGCCAAAGAUGAUUGUAUUACACUUUGAAUAAUUACAAGAGUGUUUGUACAAGAGAGCUUGAGAGCUAGUGUGCUAGGUGUGUUGUGUGGGUGUGUUGGUGGUUGUGUGAAUGAUGGGUGUUCACUCAUAUUUAUAGGGGGUGGAGUGAUAAGUUCUAGAGAACUCUACUACAAGUGGCAAAACACUAAGGGACCCAAGUGGUGAGUCCUAGAAAGUUCUAGUGAAUGGAGCUAGUUAGUUGUCUUGGUGGCCCAAUUUCUAAGUUAACCCCCACUUCUAAGUGUAUCCACCUUGAGUGCCAAGCGAGCCCGUGACAAUCCUCCCCCACCUAUGUUCGCGGCGUCCUCGUUGCGUUGUUGUGUUUGUAGAGCUGCACAUGUUCUGCGAAUUGCCAUAGAUCGUCUUCGCGCUCCCAUGUUGCUUCGCUCUCGGGGAGGUUCUUCCAUUUCACCAAGUACUCGUUGUAAGCCGGUAUGCCCCGUCUUCGAAUUACUCGAUCCGCAAGAAUGUACUCCAUGUCCUUGUCAAUAGCGGUGACAACGGCGGUUGGGGCACGCCUUGACUUGCCUCGGCUUGGAUCUCCCGCGUCUCCGUGGUAUGGCUUGAGCAAGCUCACGUGAAUGACCGGGUGGAUCUUGAGUCUUGAUGGAAGUUGGAGUUGGUAGGAGACCUUGCCCACGCGUCGAACUACUUCGAAAGGCCCUUCAUAUCGUCUCACUAACCCUUUGUGGACUUUCCGCAACGUCUUGAACUGUUGGGGUAGGAGCUUCACCAUCACUUGGUCGCCUUCCUUGUACUCGACGUGGCGUCUCCUUGAGUCAGCCCACUUUUUCAUUCUUCGAGUGGCCUUGUCGAGGUAUGCUCGCGUGAUAUCCGCUUCUUCAUGCCAUUCGCGAGCGAGUUUGUGGGUUGCUGGGCUCUUUCCUUCAUAGGUCGAGGCUAUGGCAUUGGGCGUCGUCGGCUGAAAUCCCAUGAUGAUCUCGAAUGGACUCUUGCCCGUAGCCUCGCUCCGUUGUAGGUUGUAUGAGAAUUGGGCAACGUCCAACAACUUUCCCCAAUCUCGCUGGUGAGCGCUUACAUAAUGCCUAAGAUACAUCUCAAGUAGGCUAUUGAUGCGCUCGGUUUGUCCAUCCGUUUGCGGAUGAAAGCUUGUUGAGAACUUGAGGUCGGUUCCCAACAUCUUGAAUAGCUCCGUCCAAAAGCGUCUGGUGAAGUGUGGAGGUCGCUCACGAUGCUUUUUGGAACUCCCCAAAGUUUGAUGAUGUGCUUGACAAAUAGGCGGGUAGCCUCAUCCGCUUUGCAAUCGGUCGGUGCGGUGAUGAAAGUCGCAUACUUGCUAUAGCGGUCGACUACCACCAUGAUGCUUCCGCACCCCUCGGACUUGGGUAGGGCCGAGAUAAAGUCCAUGGUGACACUCUCCCAUGGUCUUGAUGCUGUUGGUGAAGGCUCCAAUAGUCCCACCGGAAGUUGGCGAUCUGCCUUAUCUUGUUGACACACGAGACAUGUCCGCACGUAGGCCUCGAUGUCAUCCCUCAUGUGAGGCCAAAAGUAGGAGGCUUGGAUGAGUGCGGUCGUGUGCUCUACUACGGGGUGGCCAGCCCACUUCGAGUCAUGGCACUCCUUGAUCACCUCCCGCCGCAAAUUUCCCCACCUUGGCACAAAUAGUCGGUCUCCCUUGGUGAGGAAGAUUCCUUCCUCUUGCCAAAAUCGCCUCGUCUUCCCUUCAAGCACUUUCCCCAACAAGUCUUUCGCCAACGGAUCUUGUUGGAGGCCUUCCUUGAUGCGCAUGACGAGAUCGGAUUUUGGCUGGCUCAUGCUAAGUGUAACCAAUUCUGCUUUGCGGCUUAGAGCAUCCGCAACAACGUUGGCUUUUCCGGGCUUGUACUCGAGCCUAUAAUCAAAUUCCGCAAGAAAGUCUUGCCACCUAGCUUGCUUGGGGCUCAACUUCUUUUGUGUUUGGAAGUAGCUUGUGGCUACGUUGUCCGUCAAGAUCACGAAGUGUGAGCCAAGCAAGUAGUGUCGCCACACUCGUAGGCAAUGGACAAUGGCUGUCAUCUCCUUCUCUUGCACGGUGUAGCGGCGUUCCGUGUCGUUGAGCUUCCGGCUCUCGAAUGCUAUGGGGUGACCUUCUUGCAUGAGUACUCCGCCUAUGGCAAAGUCGGAGGCAUCCGUUUGAACCUCAAAUGGCUUUGUAUGGUCUGGAAGUGCAAGGACGGGCUGUUCGGAGAUAGCCUUCUUCAAUUCUCCGAAAGCGCGUUGGCAUUCCUUGGACUAAUGCCACGUACGGUUCUUCUUCAGCAGCUCGGUCAAGGGUGCCGCUUUAGCCGAAUACCCUUUGAUGAAGCGGUGGUAAUAGUUCACCAACUCGAGGAAAGACCGGAGUUCGGGUAUAUUGGUAGGAGGUUGCCAUUCAAGUAUAGCCUUUACUUUUGAGUCCUCCAUCAUAAGUUUCCCGUCUGCUAUCUUGUAGCCAAGAAACUCCACCUCUCGUUGGGCAAAUGAGCACUUCUCCAGCUUGAGGUAGAGUUCAUCGUUGCGUAGUACUUGGAGAACUUGCCGUAAGUGUUGGGCAUGUUCCUCGAGUGUGGUGCUGUACACCACAAUGUCAUCCAAGUACACCACAAUAAAGCGGUCGAGAAGCGGUUGGAGAACUUUGUUCAUGAGAGUGCAGAAUGUCGCCGGUGCAUUGGUGAGACCAAACGACAUAACAAGAAAUUCGAAAGAGCCAUACCUGGUCACGCACGUCGUCUUUGGUUCGUCACCCUUGGUGAUGCGCACUUGGUAGUACCCGGACCGUAGGUCGAGCUUGGUGAAGUACCGCGCGCUGCCGAGUUGAUCGAACAAGUCCGCAAUCAAGGGGAUCGGGUACUUGUUCUUGAUUGUAAUCUUGUUGAGCGCCCGAUAGUCGAUGCACAUGCGUAGAGAUCUAUCCUUCUUCUUUUGAAAGAGCACUGGUGCACUGAAUGGGGCCUUGGAAGGGCGGACGUAGCCCGCGUCGAGCAAGUCUUUGAGUUGCCUCCGCAACUCUUUUAACUCGGGUGGCGCCAUGCGGUAAGGCGCUAAGGCUGGCGGCUUCGCGCCUUGCUCUAACUCAAUCUCAUGUUCCACCUCUCGACUUGGUGGGAGCUUCUUCGGGAGCUUCGGAGGCAUGACGUCCUUGAACUCGUCGAGGACGGCUUGAAUGAGUGGAGGAGGUUGGCUUGACAAGUCUUCUCGACCCUCUUCAUUAUUCACCUCCCGAAUGGAAACCAAGAAGCUAGGGUCCUUCCGAAAAGCCUUUUUGAACUGCAUGGCGGAGAGCGCCUUGUCCGCGGUCUUCGAGUGCUCGGCUGGAACCAUGCACGCCAUACUCCCAUCGAGGAUGCUUAGGGAGUUCGUGGCCGGCAGUGGAAACGCAUGGACUCGGUCGAAGAACUCCAUGCCGAGGACCAUCUUGAAGUCGUCCAUGGGCACGAUCGAGAAGUCGAGCUUUCCGCUCCACGUUCCAAGAGUAACGCGCACUCCUUGUGCGGUGCCCGCAAUGGGCUUGGCGGGUGAGUUUACCGCCUUCAUUGUGCCUCCGUCCUUUGUCGCCUUUAGGCCUAUGUGCUUAGCCUCUUCUUCCGAGAUGAAGUUGUGGGUGGCUCCGGUGUCGAGCAAUGCCCGAACAGCUUGCCCAUUAACUGUGGCAUUCACAUACAUGAGCCCUUUCCUCGUGGCUGUGGGCGGAUGGCUUUCAAGCGCUCCAAGGCGUUUGAGGGAACCCACUCUAGGUUGGGGUUCUUCCGGUGUCGAUGGAGAGUCGCCCUUGAGCUGAGCGGCGAGGGUGCUAAGCGACUUUUUCUCCGGACAGUCGUGCACCCAAUGAGGGCCAUUGCAAAUGAAACAUGGGCUUCGAGGCUUUGGCGGCUGCUGUUUUUCUGUCUUGCCUUGCCUGCUCUUGCCGCUUGGAGGCUUUUUCUGUCCCCAUUCCUUGCGGUUGCGGCCCUUGUCCUUUCGGCCCUCUCCCCCACCUUUGCCGUGGCUAGGCCUCUUGUCUUUGGGCUGGGCGGAGUAAUCGGAGAGUGAAUCCGCAAUGGCAAUGUCGUCGUCGAGAGUUUGCACGCCAUGCCUAUCAAGCUCCGUCUUGGCCCAAUCUUUAAGGCCGUCUUGAAAGUAGAAGAGAGAGUCCUUAUCGGACAUGUCGGAAAUCUCAAGCAUAAGGGUGGUGAAGUCGUUGAUGUAAUCGCGGACGUUACUUGUUUGCUUAAGCCGACGUAACCGCGCUCGUGCUUCCUUCUCCGCAUUGCUUGGGGCAAAAUGGUUGCGAAGUUCCUGCUGAAAUUCAACCCAUGUGCUGAUGGCGCAAAUGCCCUUGCCCAUCUCACCGUGUUUCCACUGCCACCAUAGUUGCACGGAGCCUCAGAGGAAUGUAGGCGCGGUGCCUACCUUUGACGCAUCAUCUCGGACACCCAUCGCGUCGAAAUAUUGUUCUAGCCCAAACAGGAAGUUAUCAACCACAAUGGCGUUGCGUGCACCAUCAUAAGUAUCAGGCUUGGGCACGUCACUACGGCGCGCAUCACUCGAGCUUGCGGGAACCGCAGCCGAGCUAGGCAUGAGUGUGCGCUUGUGCCAAGCCCAAUCCGAACGGACCUCGUCAACCUCCGCACGGACUGCACGCAACUCAUUUUGUACAAAGGUACGCAAACUGAGCAGCUCGUCAUGGAUGCUCGAAACUCCCCUCGGAGAGAGUCGGCUUGGUCUUGCAUGAGGGCUUUGGUGGCUACUGUGAAUUCGCCAUAUUCGCCCUCAAGGCCAUCGACUCGCUCCUCUAAUGUAUCAAGGGUGUCUUGGACAGCUGGGUGCAAACCGUAACUCUGAUACCACUUGUCACAGGGUGAUAGUUUUGCGCAGCAAGUUCCCGUGCGGCACUUGAGCGACCUUAGCGUGUGAGUCGCUAAGUAAGCCUAGAUUACUCCCUAAACAAGCCAAGCACACACACUUGGAGAAAAUGUUAAGGGUAGUAAGAGUGGAAUGACCAAAGAUGAUUGUAUUACACUUUGAAUAAUUACAAGAGUGUUUGUACAAGAGAGCUUGAGAGCUAGUGUGCUAAGCCCAAUUUCGAAGUUAACCCCCACUUCUAAGUGUAUCUACCUUGAGUGCCAAGCGAGCCCUUGACAUUAGUCUCCCAUUCCCGGGAAUACCAACUCUACUCUCAUCGAAAUUUUAAAAUUUCGAAAACACUCUCAUUCAAUUUAAAAAUAGAAAUGGCAAAAAAAAAAAAACAAAAAGAAUAGAAAACACAGUAAACUGUCACUACCAAUCGAAGCCUCAUUGAUCUUCUUCGUCUUCGCCAAAUCGUCGCUACCAAAAUCAAUGCCAUCGAUUGUCAAGCAGCAAGCAGCAGCCGUCAUAGAUGAUGAUGUCGACGAUGCCGACGAUGAUGAUGCGAUUUAGAUCCGAUUUCGAUUUGUUGCUGCCUUUGUUGAUGAUGAUUUUGAUUAUUAUUAUUAUUAUUAUUAUUAUUUUGAAAUGUGUUGUUGUUGUUAUUAUUAUUAUUAUUAUUAAUGAUAAAAAAUAUUAUGAUUAA
rnacentral:lncRNA from 1 species